rnacentral:siRNA from 1 species
AACGUGUGGUAACGGAAUUAACGU